GAUGAAGAACGUAGCGGAAUGCGAUAAGUAAUGUGAAUUGCAGAAUUCAGUGAAUCAUCGAAUCUUUGAACGCACAUUGCGCCCGCCAGUAUUCUGGCGGGCAUGCCUGUUCGAGCGUCAUUACAACCCUCAGGCCCCCGGGCCUGGCGUUGGGGAUCGGCGGAAGCCCCCUGCGGGCACAACGCCGUCCCCCAAAUACAGUGGCGGUCCCGCCGCAGCUUCCAUUGCGUAGUAGCUAACACCUCGCAACUGGAGAGCGGCGCGGCCACGCCGUAAAACACCCAACUUCUGAAUGUUGACCUCGAAUCAGGUAGGAAUACCCGCUGAACUUAAGCAUAUCAAUAAGCGGAGGA
rnacentral:misc_RNA from 1 species